rnacentral:rRNA from 1 species
UUCUAUUAGAAUAUUCAUUAAUAGUAAAAUCUGCUCAAUGAAUAUUAAAUAGCCGCAAUUUCGUGCUAAGGUAGCAUAAUCAUUUGUCUUUUAAAUGAAGACUAGAACAAAAGAUUUAACAUUUUAGCUUAUUUCUUUUUUAAUAUAUUAAAUUUAUCUUUAAAGUAAAAAGACUUUUAUUUAUUAGAAAGACGACAAGACCCUAUUGAACUUUACUUAAGUUUUACUGGGGCAGUAAAUUAAUUAUAAUUUUAAUUUAAAUAAAUAUUUAUUAAUCCAAAUAAUUGAUAAUUCAGUUACCAUAGGGAUAACAGCAUAAUUAUUUUUAAAAGAACUUAUUAAAAAAAUAGAUUGUGACCUCGAUGUUGAAUUAAUAACCUAAUUGAAGCAAAAGUUAAAUAAGGAAGUCUGUUCGACUUUUAAAAAAUU